GACCUCAAAUCAGGUAGGACUACCCGCUGAACUUAAGCAUAUCAAUAAGCGGAGGAAAAGAAACUAACAAGGAUUCCCCUAGUAACUGCGAGUGAAGCGGGAAAAGCUCAAAUUUAAAAUCUGGCAGUCUUUGGCUGUCCGAGUUGUAAUCUAGAGAAGYGUUAUCCGCGCUGGACCGUGUACAAGUCUCCUGGAAUGGAGCGUCAUAGAGGGUGAGAAUCCCGUCUUUGACACGGACUACCAGGGCUUUGUGAUGCGCUCUCAAAGAGUCGAGUUGUUUGGGAAUGCAGCUCAAAAUGGGUGGUAAAUUCCAUCUAAAGCUAAAUAUUGGCGAGAGACCGAUAGCGAACAAGUACCGUGAGGGAAAGAUGAAAAGAACUUUGGAAAGAGAGUUAAACAGUACGUGAAAUUGCUGAAAGGGAAACGCUUGAAGUCAGUCGCGUUGUCCAGGGAUCAACCUUGCUUUUGCUUGGUGCAUUUUCUGGUUGACGGGUCAGCAUCAAUUUUGACCAUUGGAAAAAGAUUAAGGGAAUGUGACAUCUUUGGAUGUGUUAUAGCCCUUGGUUGCAUACGAUGGUUGGGAUUGAGGAACUCAGCACGCCGCAAGGCCGGGUU
rnacentral:rRNA from 1 species